UACGUAGGGUGCGAGCGUUGUCCGGAAUUAUUGGGCGUAAAGGGCUCGUAGGCGGUUUGUCGCGUCGGGAGUGAAAACCAGGUGCUUAACACCUGGCUUGCUUUCGAUACGGGCAGACUAGAGGCAUGCAGGGGAGAACGGAAUUCCUGGUGUAGCGGUGAAAUGCGCAGAUAUCAGGAGGAACACCGGUGGCGAAGGCGGUUCUCUGGGCAUGUCCUGACGCUGAGGAGCGAAAGUGUGGGGAGCGAACGGG
rnacentral:rRNA from 1 species